rnacentral:rRNA from 1 species
GGCGGCAGGCCUAACACAUGCAAGUCGAGCGGUAGAGAGAAGCUUGCUUCUCUUGAGAGCGGCGGACGGGUGAGUAAUACCUAGGAAUCUGCCUGAUAGUGGGGGAUAACGUUCGGAAACGGACGCUAAUACCGCAUACGUCCUACGGGAGAAAGCAGGGGACCUUCGGGCCUUGCGCUAUCAGAUGAGCCUAGGUCGGAUUAGCUAGUUGGUGAGGUAAUGGCUCACCAAGGCUACGAUCCGUAACUGGUCUGAGAGGAUGAUCAGUCACACUGGAACUGAGACACGGUCCAGACUCCUACGGGAGGCAGCAGUGGGGAAUAUUGGACAAUGGGCGAAAGCCUGAUCCAGCCAUGCCGCGUGUGUGAAGAAGGUCUUCGGAUUGUAAAGCACUUUAAGUUGGGAGGAAGGGCAGUUACCUAAUACGUGAUUGUCUUGACGUUACCGACAGAAUAAGCACCGGCUAACUCUGUGCCAGCAGCCGCGGUAAUACAGAGGGUGCAAGCGUUAAUCGGAAUUACUGGGCGUAAAGCGCGCGUAGGUGGUUUGUUAAGUUGAAUGUGAAAUCCCCGGGCUCAACCUGGGAACUGCAUCCAAAACUGGCAAGCUAGAGUAUGGUAGAGGGUAGUGGAAUUUCCUGUGUAGCGGUGAAAUGCGUAGAUAUAGGAAGGAACACCAGUGGCGAAGGCGACUACCUGGACUGAUACUGACACUGAGGUGCGAAAGC